rnacentral:lncRNA from 1 species
UAUAUAGCUUCUACUCGGCUCUUUCUUCGGGGGAAGCCAGCUACAAAGUCAUGAGGGCACUCAAGUAGACAGUGGAAAAACUCAUGUGAAAAGGGACCAAGGCCUCCUGACAACAGUCAGCACCAACUUGCAGCCAUGAAUGGCAUGUGGAAUUUGAUUCAAAAUAAUCUAGAAGGAGCAAGUAGAGCAAGUACAAACAAAAGACUACUGUCUACGAGGUGAUAACUGUUCAAGCUGAGAUAUGGAUACAUAAUCGAAUGAAACCAGCCUCUUCCAGGCACAGGAGACUCCUAGACGUGCCGGUGGCGUUCGGCCGGUGUCUGAGCAACACACCGAUCCUGAUCUCGCAACGCAAAGACAGACCAAGCGCCGCAAAGAAGUUGUAGGGCUGCGAGAUGCUCCAGCUCUGCCCUCUGAGAAACGCACUUCAGCGUUAAACCCCAGGGUUCCUCUCAGGCGGAGCAGUGAGCAUGGAGAGCCGGGUCUGGGGCAGAGCCCUCACUAGACAAAUGGGGCUGGAUCUGUGGCUUUGUAGCUCAGAGCCAGGGUAAUAUUUCAAAAGCAAGCAAUAAGAGUCUUGGGCGAAUCAAGUGUUCCUCUGGCUGGUUGGAGAAGAGAUUUGAAGCUUCUUAUUGUGCUCUAAAUAGCCCUGCAAACGGUAAACUAGCAAGCACAGUAAACUAGCAAGAGCGUUAGCCUUCUUCUACCUUCCUUUGAGGGUCGUGUUCCUCGGUUAAUAUGUAGAUUUCACCAUUCCUGAGUGCCCGUAAUUCAGGGAAACGCAGUAAUUUGAUAACAAGAAAAGGUCAGCCUCCCUCGCUCGACCCUUAGCCCGGUUUUUAGAAUUCUUCCUCGGAGGCAGGGGCUCAACUCACACUCUCACGCAUACUGGCCACGGGAGAGAAGCGUGGGAGGCCCACUCUGCGCCCGCGGGAAAGGG